rnacentral:rRNA from 1 species
CUACGGGGCGCACCAGUGGGGAAUAUUGCACAAUGGGGGAAACCCUGAUGCAGCCAUGCCGCGUGUAUGAAGAAGGCCUUCGGGUUGUAAAGUACUUUCAGCAGUGAGGAAGGGUGAUAAAUUAAUACUUUAUCAUUUUGACGUUAGCUGCAGAAGAAGCACCGGCUAACUCCGUGCCAGCAGCCGCGGUAAUACGGAGGGUGCGAGCGUUAAUCGGAAUUACUGGGCGUAAAGCGCAUGCAGGUGGUCUGUUAAGUCAGAUGUGAAAGCCCGGGGCUUAACCUCGGAAUCGCAUUUGAAACUGGCAGGCUAGAGUACUGUAGAGGGGGGUAGAAUUUCAGGUGUAGCGGUGAAAUGCGUAGAGAUCUGAAGGAAUACCGGUGGCGAAGGCGGCCCCCUGGACAGAUACUGACACUCAGAUGCGAAAGCGUGGGGAGCAAACAGGAUUAGAUACCCCAGUAGUC